CUGGCCUGACCCUCUCAGAGACACUUAGAAAGUGAAAGCCCUCUGCUGAUAGCAUAUCAAGAAAUCUCGGUGAGAUACAGUUCCUGGCUGGGUGCAAACUGAUGGCCAUGCCAAGCUGAGCGAUAACGGGGAGUUGCUUUGAACCUCUGAGGUUGGCCCAGGAGGAGGAAGUACACCUGCUAAUAGAAUCAUCACAAAAGGAGCAGACGAAGAAGCCGGACCCAAGGACAUCAAUGGAACCCCAGAGCCCUUCCCUGCACCAUUUUGCAGGGCUUCUGGUUAAACAUUCCAUUUUGAUUAGAAUGGAAAGACUCGGCACAUCUGAACACCCCCAACCCCCGAAGCUCCUGCCGCCUCUCCUGGAUCCAUGCAGAGAACAAGAGGAAGUCUGGAGUCCUAGGAAGUAGCCUGCCAUAGCAAGGCAACAUCUCGGCGCCUGAUCCGCUGUGAUUUGAUCUGCCACGCCACCUCGGAGACAGACGGAGCAACCCUUCAUUCCGGUCACACUCGCAGCACUUUGCUGGGUCAGCCGCUGUGACUCAGUGCUGCGCCCCAGACCGGGCUGGCGCACGUGGCUGUGCACACGCGCCCUGCCUUCCAGGAGGCGCAGCCACCGCGAGAGGCCUCCCGGGGCCCAGGCCAGGGGCGCCGGUGCCUACUCAUUAAUUAUUAAAGGAGGGCGGUUUUAUCUUGUCCGCUGGCAGAAUCGAG
rnacentral:lncRNA from 1 species